UGAAAAUUUCGGCGGGAUGACGUCAGGCGCCAAAACUGGCGCGUGGUUUUUCCCGGUAUAGACCCAGUGUGUCAACGCUGUAAAUGCAUUGUGGGAAACGGACUAUUUCCAGCAUGGCGCCCGUAAAGAUUAUGAACACGGAAGUAAAAAUAGUAAUAAAUUAUUAUCAAAAACAGGCCUCAUCAAACCGGGUCAGCCAUGAUAUAUUCUUGGAUGCAGUUUGUGCUUCAAAAGGAGCUACUUUUCAUGCCAGCCUAUCGAUACUAUGUGGGAACUGGGAUUCGGGAUGCUCUCCCACUGGUAUCAUAUGCAGAUCAGUGGUCACAAGAACGUACACAACAUCAUUAAUGUCAGCAAUAUAUAUCUCCAACUUCAAACACACAGCUUGCAAAAUCGCUGAAUAUUGCACAAAAGCAGCUUCGUUACAAACUUCCAGCAACUCGAAAUCCACAAGCAGUCUCGUUCCCCACCCACUUUGACUUCGUAGCGAAGGCAUGUUUUUUUUGGGAAACCGUUAACAUCUCACAACUAAACGUAUACUACGGAGAUUGACAAGUUGAAAAAUAAAUUACUGUAAUCACUUCCAAUUUGCGCACUAAGUUAAACUCCAGUUCCAGUUUGUCUUUAUUGUUGAAAUGUUACUCUACACAUUCGCUUUGAAAAUAGAGGUUGGCGUGUUGUUGGAAGUACAUGUACAUGUCGAAUGUGUUAUUGUAAAAACUAUUGGUAUUGUGUUUUUAGUGCAGACAUUGUAUUUAAGUUUCGAUUUCUAGCAUAAAUUUAUAUAUUUUGUUAAAUAAUUUGCGUUUGAAUGUGAUUGUUUGUUGCUUACUUGCGAACUAUUUUUUAUGUGUAAAUAUGCAUAGACGCUAGUGGAUAUGUAAUCAGGUUACCAUAUUUACAACAAUAAAAUUUAACGGCUGUU